rnacentral:sRNA from 1 species
ACACCGGCGAUGACCGCGGCGGUGAGGAUGAUGCCGAGCCAGAUCCACGCGACCGGCGGACGGUUCUGCGUACG